AGAGCAAACGCAAUUUUGGAGACGCGGUGAUUUUUCUCGUGGUUCCGAUAGGUGGUGCUAUCGUACUUCCACGUUGAUGGAGACUUCAACCCACGGAGGGUAACGGCUGCGAGAGUCCACGGAGGGCUCCACCCAUGAAGGGUCCACGAAGAAGCAACCUUGUCUAUUCCAUCAUGGCCUACGCCCACGGAGGGCUAGCCUUACUCGGGGUAGAUCUUCACGAAGUAGGCGAUCUCCUUGCCCUUACAAACUUCUUGGUUCAACUCCACAUCUCGACGGAGGCUCCCAAGCGACACCUAACCAAUCUAGGAGGCACCACCCUCCAAAAGGUAAUAGAUGUUGUAGAUGAUGAUGAACUCCUUGCUCUUGUGCUUCAAAUGAUAAUCUCCCCAACACUCAACUCUCCUCACUGAUUUGGCUGUGGUGGAAGAAAGGAUUGAGUGGAAAGCAACUUGGGAAGGCUAGAGAUCAAGCUUCAUAUGGUGGGAGUGGAGCAACUUGAUCUCAACACAAGGGUAGGUAGUUCUCUUCUCAGAAAUGUAAGGUAGGAGUGGUAGUUCUUUCUGAUGGCUCUCUCCACGAAUGAAGAGGGGGUGGAGGGGUAUAAAUAGCCUCCACACAAAAUCCAACCAUUACACACAUUUGAGCAAUCUCGGUGGGACCGAAGUUGACAACUCGGUGAGACCGAUAGUUCAAAUAAUGUGAACGUUGGGAUUUUCGGUGGGACCGAAAAUACAAUCUCGGUUAGUCCGAUUCGUGCAAUGACAAGAGCAUGCCAAUUUCGGUGGGACCGACUUCAUCAUCUCGGUGACACCGAUUUGAUGACAGAAGGUUACAGAAGCUUGGCAACUCAUUUUUCGGUGAGACCGAGUUCAGAAUCGGAAAAUCCGAGUUUGCUAGGGUUUGGCUUUAUGGCUGAGGUGGUUCAUCUCGGUGUGACUGAGUUUGGAAUAUCGGUGGGACCGAGACUACUUAUGAGUGUAUAUGGCAGUGAAAGUUGCUGAUAGUUUAGGAGAUGUAUCACUAAGCACUUGAGCAACCAGAUCAUCAUCAUAACCUCAUCCCCUUCUAAUAGUAUUGGCUUUUCCUAUGGACUCAAUGUGAUCUUGGAUCACUAAACCAAAAAUGGAGUCUUGAGCUUUUGCCAAUGCUUGCCUUAGCAUUUUGAGGGGUCCACUUCUUCAGUCCUUGCCAUACCCAUAUCACUGAACUCUCUGAAAUGAUUCUCAAGUAACUAUUAGUUCAAUGAUAUAUAUGUUGUUAUUAAUUACCAAAACCACCCGGGGAUUAGUUGCACUUUCAAUCUCCCCCUUUUUGGUAAUUGAUGACAACAUAUAGAUCAAAGCUUCGACAAAGGAUAUAAUCAAUGAAUAAUAUCGUCGCUUUGAGAAGUAUGUGAUAAGCAAGAGCUCCCCCUAAAUUUGUGCAUUAUUUAAGAUUUGCGUUUGAAUGCAAAUGCACAAUCGAUUAGGAUCAUGGGUCACUCUUCCAUAUCACAUACAUCUUGGUGGAGCGCACAAAAUGAUAAGAAUGAACAGCAUGCACCCAAUCACCAAGACAUGAGUAAAUGGUCAUACGAGAUAGGAAUGGCAUAUGAUAAUCAUUAAGCACACAUUAAAACAUAGUACGACCAAGCACUCAUUAAGGUAGAAUCAAACGUAGUAUCAAACACACUGAAUGUCUCGAAAACCAAAAGUAUCUCAAAGAAACCGCAAAAGAACGAAAGAGCAAAAGCGACAACAGCACUCUCUCUCUCGAAGUCCUAUGAUCUAUACAAUUUCUCACCCUUUGGCAACAAGUUACCAAAAAGUUCGAAAAAGCAUAGAGCUAAGCGUCACUGGGGACUCUGCUGGCGGCUCCCGUCUGGGUUGAUGUUGGAGUGGAUAUGACAGCAUCGGCGAAGACUUCAGCUGAUGUCUGUGCUGGAGGAGUGGUCACUGGAGUUGGAGUUGGAGUAACUGCUGGAACUGUGGGAGGUGCUGAAGCUGUAGUCCUGGUGUCUGUCACUGGAAUAGCAGCUGAUCGGGGUCCUGUGGGAACCGGAGCAGUCUGCUGAUAAGCAUCCUGGACUAAGUCAUCCUGCAUCUCACGCAUGAGCUCUUCCUUCUCCCGCUUUUCUUCCUCAAUGUCUGCCUCGAGCUUGUUGACAGUCACUCGCAUUUCAGUCAGCUUCACGUCCAGAGCGUGGAUCUUGUCCUCAACAAUCCUCUCUAGGCUCUCCUGAGACUGUACAAUGCUGGCCAGGCGUUGUUCAAUCCUUUGGGUAGCUUCAAGAAUCUUCUCUCCGAAACUCUUUGGUUUAGCUGCUGCUGCUGCUGCUUCCUUGUCAGCUUUGGCUUUCUUAGCAGCUUCGAUCUUGGAUUGACCUUCAACAGAUGUUGGAUCCUCCUCAUCCAUCACAACAACAUUGUCUUCAUGCUCUGGCUGCAACGGUAAAUGUUCUCUAUCCAACAAGAAUGUGCCCGUGCCAAACUUGGCAUUGAUAAGCAUCUGAAUCUGCGGGGCAAAUCCACACGACCAUUUCUGGUCAGCUGCAGUCCUCUUAAUGGUCUCUACCAUCAAGUCCAUCACCUUGAAAGGUGCUUUCUCAUCAAGUAGGUGCAGCAUGUUGAUAGAGUAUCCUCUGAUCAUGCGAUGAUCUCCAGACUUGGGCAUCAAGGUAUGCCUCAAAAUGGUAUUAGUGGUAGGUAAGCCUGCCUGGAGAUAGUAGACUGAGCCGAGCUUCCAAAUUCCCAAGUCCUUUGCUGGAACCUCUUUGUACAUGUUCUUCAUGGAUUCAUGAUUCUUCUUUGGAAUCCCAUAUACAUCAAUAUCAUCUUCUCGUUGCAUUGGAGCAUUCAGAAUUUCUGCCCAUUCUUCAACAGUAGAAGAAAAUCUUUGACCUUCAGUCAUCCACGUAAUCUUCCCAUCAGGGUAGAAGUGAGCUGUGGCAUAGAAUUGCAUUAUCAUCUCAUCGUUCCAACUGGUCAAUUUCUGACCAACAAAAUCUGCAACACCACAUGCAGUGAAACUUUCAUGCACAUGUGGAAAGAAAUCUCUGUGCUCUUCGCUUUCAAUGUACUUCCAGUCAACAUAUCUUGUGUCUGCGACUAUGGGCUUCUUGUCCAUCAGCACGGUCUCAUAGAAGUCCUGCUGCUCUCUGUUGUGAAAUCUGGGAUCUACAGCAGUUCUUCUCCUCACGGCAUAUGGGUCAGUUUGUCUCCAUAGCCUGAGACCUCUAUCUUUCAUUGCCUUCAUAUCCUCAGCUUGAGGAUGAGCAUCAUCAUGGACUGGCAGUUUUGGACGAAGUUUCAGCAAAACUGGUCCUUCAUCAUCUGACACAGCUGGUGGCACAUCAUCCUUGUUCUUUUCAGACGCUGGAAUGUUUCUGACGGUCUUCUUGGGCUUGGCAGCAGGCUUUGCUGGAGCUGCCUUAGCUGGAGCAGAUUUCUUGGGCUUUGAUGUGGCUCCAACCUUAAUGGCAUCACCCAUGAACAUAGGCUUCUGAGGAGGAGGCUGGGGUGCUCCCUCAUCCUCAUCUUCUUCUGCUGCAUCAUGCACUAUCCUCUUUCUCUUGGACGUUUUCUUCACUUUGCUUGCAGCUGCCUCUCCCAAAUUCAGCUUCUGAGCAACAGUUGACUGCUUGACUUUGCUGGUGCCCUUCUUAGUUUGUUGACCUUGUUUCUCUUUGGCAACAACCUUCCUUUUGGGCUUUGAGGUCACCUCUUCCUCAACGACAAAAUCUGAAUCUUCAUCAUCUGAAUUCCUCUUCUUUCUAGCUCUGGUGGCUGCAGGAGGCAAGCCACUUGGUGUACUCCUCUCACCAUCAUCAGAUGAGCUGCUAGGAUCAGGACUAGUGCCUGCCUCUGGAAUAUCUGCAAUGGGUGUCUCUGACCUGUUCUGACUGUCACUGGCAUCUGACAUGGCUGACAACCUGUGAAUAGAUAAGGUGUAGGCAGAGAAGAAGAGUCAUCACAAAAUGCAGAAGUUUUUGCAAAAAAUAUGAGUUCAAAUUCUAGUAUUAGGUUUUCACAUAAGACAUUUCGGUCAAACCGAGUUUAAGAUUCGGUGAAUCCGAAGUGUUAAACAGGAGCUGGCACACCACUUUCGGUUUGACCGAAGUGGGUUUCGGUCCUGCCGAAAACACUAGGGUUUCAUAGAAUUUUCAUUUCGGUCACACCGAUUUUGCACAACUCGGUUGGACCGAAAGGUGCAGUGCAAUGGCCAUAGGCCAAAUCGGUCAUACCGAAAUUAUAAAAUCGGUCUCACCGAGAUGUGUUCGGCGGAAACCUAACCCUAAAACUUUUACUCGAAUCUAGUCCAAACGAACUAAUCUGGUGUACAGGAGGAUUUCAAUCGUGGCAAGAUUCUAGGCAAUCCAAACGUGCAUUGAAUCGGAGCUGGGAGCACGAGUGGGAUCAAAACUCACCCUAACUUGGUGGAGUUUUUCUACGGCGGCAACGGCGCGGAGGAGAUGUCCGUUGACGGCGACGGAGACCUGCGGCGAGGGCGCACAGGCGACGAUGGCGAUGAUCCGGAGACCAAGGCGACGGCAGCAAGGGGUGUGGGGGCGAAACGUUUGAACGAGGAAUCAACACGCGUGGCCCUCGGAGUAUAUAUACCCCUUUGCUGUCGGUGGGACCGAGUUGUAAAACUCGGUGGCACCGAGAUGGAUAACUGCUAGGCAGUUAUGCACUUCGGUCAUGCCAAAAAUCACAACUCGGUUUCACCGAGGUGAAAACCUAGAUCAGUCCAAAUGCUUUCGGUUCGACCGAGUUUGAGUGAGUUGGUCUGACCGAAAUCAAUUAGAAGGUUUUGGAAGUUAGCCUUUGACGGAUCGGUGGCUCCGAGUGCUCCUCACCCGGAGGGUCCGAAAAUGACUUGUUCAAAAUUUGUGAUGUAAGCAUGAAUAGAAUUUGAGACAAGAAAGCAUAGAUAGCUAGGGGAGGUACUUAGGAUUCUUGUCCAUCCAUUUGGUCAGAAAAAUCAAAACGACCAAAGCAACAAAUGGAUGUCCUCGAAUGGAUAAAAUCAUGCAUCCAACAUGCUCCCACAAUAAGAUAGCAAAUGAAAUAUGUGUCAAACAUGCACAACCAAAACUCUAGGUACUAUCACACAAUUUGUCGAUGACUAGGUCAUCUUUAUAUGAGUAUAUUGACUUAGGAGCCAAAUGAGAACAUUUGAUCAUAGGUCAUACUCAUCGUUUAAGCACAAGUGGGGUUACCACUUUUACAUAAAGCAUUGAUGUGUUCACAUCAUUUGAAGAUGCCUUAGCUCAAUUUUUAGAGCAAAGCUCCCCCUAGAUGUGAGAACCCCUUUUAAAGGGUCAAACUAACCUUGGCAUGUCUUAGAAGACUUCAUGUAGAUGUUGAAGAUGUGGAUGCUCAAUGUUGAUGUAGAUCAUCAAGAGUUGAGAGCUAUCCCUUGGAUUCGGGCACUUUCAAUACCUACAUGGGUUAGUCCCACAAGGAACAAACAAGGAUAUCCAUGGACAUAGAUUGAAGUUCACAAUAGAUGAUGUCCAUGAAAGCAAUGAUUACCUUGUCCCUUGACUUACCAACAAGAGGGUUUGUGACUCCAUGAACUAGUGCACGAUGUGGAAGUUGAUUGCACAAGUUUUUGCCAAAAUGAAUGUGAGUGAAGUAUGUUGGCGGAGUCACCCUCAAGAACUUUCUAGUUCUUCUUCUUCGGGAUCCACAUCAUCUUGAUGGGAAUCCUUGGGGUUGUAGUUGAGCUUGACGAAGUAGAACUUGACGUUUCCUUGGGAACCCACUUGACCAUGGCUUGAGGUGCUUCAACAAAUGCAUCAAUCUCCUCUUGAAGCUUGUCCUUGCCUUUUAGCUUGUGGUCUUGUGGUGGAAGGUCAUCUUGAGCUUGUUCCACCUUGGAAGAAGUAGGAUCAUACUUCUCCUUUUGAGGAACAAACUGUGGAGUAGGAUAUUGACCUUCUUCCCAUUCAACACCUUCGGCGUUGAACUUUCGCUCAAAACCAAUUCCUUGAUUCUUCCGGUGCCUUCCUUGCUUGCGAACAAUUUCCUCAAAGUUCUUGCUUCCGGCAAGGCUCUUGUAGACACCUUUCUCUAUGAUCCCUUUCAAUAAACUAUUUUCUUGCUCAAGUGUAACUUGGCUUGAAACAUGGUUAGUGGAAUCAAGAGAACUACUAGAAGCAACAACAUUGGAUUUAGCAUGGUUAUUGUUACUACUAGAAAAGGAAUUUUUCUUAUGCUUGUCAUGCUUAGUCUUAAUGGGUGGCAAGAAAUUAGACAAGAGAAGUCAUUUGGCAAGAUAUGAAGAACUAUUCUUUCGAAGAUCGUCAUUGAUUGCUUUUAGAAACUCAUGUUCUUGCUCUAGAGUGAGCUUCUCGAAGCGUAGCUUCUCAUGCGAUCUUAGGAGCUCUCUAUGAUCUUCUUGAGUUGUUUCAUGAGCUAACUUAAGAGUUUUUAGUUCUUUAGUUAGACGCUCAAUCUCCUUCAUAGCAUUGUCAUUCGACUCUUCUCGACUAUAAAGACUACUAGCAUGUUCAUCGUUACUAGGUUCAUUGGAUUUAUCAAGUAAGAGCUCAUCUUCACCAAGCAAGUCAUCCUCAUCACUAUCGAAGUCAAUGAAUUUAGGGUGUGAUACCUUGGGGCCUUUAGCCAUGAAGCAUCUUCCAAUUCCCUCAUUUGGUGAAUCAAAUAAGUCGUAGGAAUUGGAGUUGGAGGAUACGAGAGCAAGACCGGCAACACCUUCAUCUUGACUGUAGUCGGAGUUGGAGUGAUAGCUUCCUUCGGAUUGAUUGUCGGAGUCGGAGCCGGAGACCCAUUCACCUACAUGAGCUUGAUGUUUUCUUCUUGUGUAGCUCCUUGAUGACUUGUCUUUCCUCUCCGAAUCCUUGCUUCUCUGAGAGGGUCUUCGUUCAUAACGAUCAUCUCUGCUCCUUCUCUCUUUCCGAGGUGACUCAUAUCUUGAGCUUCUUCUUCUUGGAGAUUCUUCUCUUCUCUUGUGGGGAGCCGUACACUCAUUUGAGUAGUGUUCGGGUCUUCCACAAUUGUAGCAGUUUCGAUCACGACUAGAAGAUCUCUUUUCAUCAUAUGAUCUAGACUUUGAGCUUCUCUCUUUGCCUCUAUUCUUGUAGAAUUUGUUGAAGUUCUUGACCAUUAGGCUUAUCUCUUCAUUGGAAACUAACUUGUCACUUGAGGUUGUGGGAGCAUCACUUGUAGCUUUGUAAGCACCACUUGACUUGUUGUGAAGCUCUUCCUUAUCCUUAAGUGUCAUCUCAUGAGCAACAAUUCUUCCAAUGACUUCGGUUGGCUUGAGAUUCUUGUAGUUUGGCAUCAUUUGGAUCAAAGUGCACACGGUGUCAUACUUUCCAUCCAAAGCUCUGAGAAUCUUCUUGAUGAUGAAUCGGUCGGUCAUUUCUUCGCUUUCUAAGCCGGCAAUUUCAUUUGUGAUGAGAGCAAGCCUAGAGUACAUUUCAGCGACUCCUUCACCAUCCUUCAUCUUGAACUUGUCAAGUUGACCUUGAAGAAUAUCUAGCUUUGACUCCUUCACGGACUCGGUACCUUCGUGCAUUUCAACCAAAGUAUCCCAAAUCUCUUUUGCAUUCUCAAGACGGCUGAUUUUGUUGAACUCCUCGGGACACAAGGCAUUGAAGAGAAUGUCACAAGCUUGAGCAUUGUUUUGCAACAUCCGCAAUUCUUCCGUUGUAGCUUCGCUAUCCGGAACUUUUCCUUCCUCGAAGAAUUCACCUUGCAUACCAACACAAAUAAUGCCCCAUGCGGCUGGGUUAUGACCAAGAAUAUGCAUUUUCAUUUUAUGCUUCCAACUAGCAAAAUUUGUACCAUCAAAGUAAGGACCUCUACGAAAAUUACCCUCACUAGACGCCAUACUCUCCUAGGUUGUGAAACCAAGCUUAUGGAGUCCAAUGCAAUGGAAACCAAUACAAUGGAGACCAAAGCUCUGAUACCACUUGUAGGAUCGAAAGUAUGUCUAGAGGGGGGGUGAUUAGACUACUUGACAAUAUAAAAAUUCUGCCUUUUGACAAAGAACAGUUUUUGGCAGAUUCACAAUUAUGAGCAAGUCAAGCAUCACCCUACACAUGCAAUUCUAGAGUAUAGGCAGCGGAAAGUAAAUUGCACAUGUAGUAAAGAGAGGUGGAGAAGAGCAAACGCAAUUUUGGAGACGCGGUGAUUUUUCUCGUGGUUCCGAUAGGUGGUGCUAUCGUACUUCCACGUUGAUGGAGACUUCAACCCACGAAAGGUAACGGCUGCGAGAGUCCCAGGAGGGCUCCACCCAUGAAGGGUCCACGAAGAAGCAACCUUGUCUAUUCCAUCAUGGCCUACGCCCACGGAGGGCUAGCCUUACUCGGCGUAGAUCUUCACGAAGUAGGCGAUCUCCUUGCCCUUACAAACUUCUUGGUUCAACUCCACAUCUCGACGGAGGCUCCCAAGCGACACCUAACCAAUCUAGGAGGCACCACCCUCCAAAAGGUAAUAGAUGUUGUAGAUGAUGAUGAACUCCUUGCUCUUGUGCUUCAAAUGAUAAUCUCCCCAACACUCAACUCUCCUCACUGAUUUGGCUGUGGUGGAAGAAAGGAUUGAGUGGAAAGCAACUUGGGAAGGCUAGAGAUCAAGCUUCAUAUGGUGGGAGUGGAGCAACUUGAUCUCAACACAAGGGUAGGUAGUUCUCUUCUCAGAAAUGUAAGGUAGGAGUGGUAGUUCUUUCUGAUGGCUCUCUCCACGAAUGAAGAGGGGGUGGAGGGGUAUAAAUAGCCUCCACACAAAAUCCAACCGUUACACACAUUUGAGCAAUCUCGGUGGGACCGAAGUUGACAACUCGGUGAGACCGAUAGUUCAAAUAAUGUGAACGUUGGGAUUUUCGGUGGGACCGAAAAUACAAUCUCGGUUAGUCCGAUUAGUGCAAUGACAAGAGCAUGCCAAUUUCGGUGGGACCGACUUCAUCAUCUUGGUGACACCGAUUUGAUGACAGAAGGUUACAGAAGCUUGGCAACUCAUUUUUCGGUGAGACCGAGUUCAGAAUCGGAAAAUCCGAGUUUGCUAGGGUUUGGCUUUAUGGCUGAGGUGGUUCAUCUCGGUGUGACUGAGUUUGGAAUAUCGGUGGGACCGAGACUACUUAUGAGUGUAUAUGACAGUGAAAGUUGCUGAUAGUUUAGGAGAUGUAUCACUAAGCACUUGAGCAACCAGAUCAUCAUCAUAACCUCAUCCCCUUUUAAUAGUAUUGGCUUUUCCUAUGGACUCAAUGUGAUCUUGGAUCACUAAACCAAAAAUGGAGUCUUGAACUUUUGCCAAUGCUUGCCUUAGCAUUUUGAGGGGUCCACUUCUUCAGUCCUUGCCAUACCCAUAUCACUGAACUCUCUGAAAUGAUUCUCAAGUAACUAUUAGUUCAAUGAUAUAUAUAUGUUGUUAUUAAUUACCAAAACCACCCGGGGAUUAGUUGCACUUUCAAUCUCCCCCUUUUUGGUAAUUGAUGACAACAUAUAGAUCAA
rnacentral:lncRNA from 1 species